rnacentral:lncRNA from 1 species
UACAGGCGUGAGCCACCGCGCCCAGCCUACCUCAUUCUUUAAAGGGCUAUAAACUAUUCAAUCACGCUGAUGAACUAGCAUUUAUUUGCAUAUUUUCUCAGUGUUGGACCUCUAGAGUUAGUUUCCAUUUAUAUGUUGUGAGAAACCAUGUUGUAUUGAACUUAGACAUUUGGCUAGAAGUUUUAUAGAAUGUUUUCCUUGAAUUAGGGUUCUAGGCACUUCCUAUAUGCUAGGCACCAGUGUAAACACUUUACAAAUAUCAACUUUUAAAAUUCCCAUGACAACCCCAUGAGUUAUAGAUACUAUUAUUAUCUCAGUUUUGCAGAUGAUAAACUUAGGCUCAGAGAGGUUAAGCAACUUGUUUGAGAUCUCAUGGUUCUAAUUGGUAGAGCCAGGAUUGGAAUCCAGGAUCUCUGAAUCCAGAGUCUGUCCUUAACUCAUAUGCAUUCUGCUUCCUCAUAGGAUAGGUAUAUUUGGAAUCUUGAUAGAUACUGCCAAGUUGUCCCUGAAAAAGGUUCUAUCAAUUUAUAUUUCCACAAACUGUAUUUGAGUGUUCACCCAUUUUCCUAUUUCAUUACCAAACCCUAUGUUCUCACUUUUAAAUUUUUUUGCCAAUUUGUGGUUGGAAAAAUAGUAUCAAAUUAUUGUUUUAACUUACAAUUAAUGCACCAUUAACAUUUAUAAUACUUAGCUUUUAUUAGACCUGUACUACAAUAAAAUACAUAAAAGAAUUCUUCAUCAUUUCCAGAUUAUCAUCCCAGAGCCCUCCCUGAAGCCCACACACAGCUUCUUCAGGAAAUGCUGACAGCAUGGUAUACACAUGGCUUCCAUGUUUGUCAUGGUUCCAAAGUUUGCUUUUGAAAGAGUUUAAUUUCUUUCUUUCUUUCUUUCUUUCUUUCCUUUAUUGGCUAAACUCCCCCCACAGGACCUGAGUGAGCAGAAGGCUUUUCAGAAUUACAGCCUGAACUAUUUCUUGAGCAAUUUGGGAACUCAUUUCUAAAGCAGUCCUCAGAUUCACACAACGUAGUUUGUGACGGAGUAUGCCCAGAGCAGUGUGGAAGAUGAUCAAAGUAUGACAUUUCUUCUACCCCAGAGGCUGGCAUUUCUGCAGGCACAAAUGAGCUUGGUUUUCAAGCACUGCUCUUUGAACACAAGGAAUUCCUUUAAUGAUCACGCCGGACUAUAUAGACUUUGGAAUCAGACUCUUUGAAUUCCAGCUCUGCCAUUUACCAACUUUGACACUUUGG